GACAGAGGUGCCAAGCGUUAGGCGGAAUCACUGGGCUUAAAGCGUGUGUAGGCGGAUGUCUAAGUACCUUGUGAAAUCCCACGGCUCAACCGUGGAACUGCUUGGUAUACUGGAUGUCUUGAGCCAGCUAGGGGCUACCGGAACAAAUGGUGGAGCGGUGAAAUGCGUAGAUAUCAUUUGGAACGCCAAUGGUGAAAACAGGUAGCUGGGGCUGUGCUGACGCUGAGACACGAAGCCAGGGAGCAAACGGG
rnacentral:rRNA from 1 species